UGGUGCAUGGGCCGUUCUUAGUUYGUGGAGUGAUCUGUCUGCUUAAUUGCGUUUCAAAACAACUGAUACACAGAGUCUUGGCACAGUUCAGUUUAAUGGCGUCGAGUAUCUUUGAUUUCGACAGUAGUCCAACUCGGUUCGCCAGGGUCUCUUUUGAACGCAACGGACGUGAUCGCAACCCUUUGUUGAGUGAUGUCAGCACUCUACGUCUAUCCUAGCUCGUUGAUCGCAAGUGAGAGUUGGGUGGGCAAACUCAGGGGACAGCUUCAACUAUUCUUCUUCAAACUAGAGGAAGGUUGCGGCAAUAACAGGUCUGUGAUGCCCUCAGAUGUUCUAGGCUGCACACGUGCUACAUUGAUCAGCACAAUGCGAUACAUUUCGAAAGGAAACAUCGGUUUUAAGGUAACGUCGAUUGCCUACCGAUAGCACCUGGUCCCCAGUGGACUGGGCAAUCUCUUCUAAAUGCUGGUAAGGUACCCACACUCGAGCUAUUUAAUCACACGCGGGAGGCACACACGGUUCAAAUCUCAUUUGCGACUGUUGCCGCCAUGACGUAUGCAACUUGUCAAUUCUUCGUGGGGAUCGUCGAUUGCAACUAUUCGACUCGCCACAACUAGGAAUGCCU
rnacentral:rRNA from 1 species